GACAGCUCAAAAGCUACGAGGCUCACCACACACAAGACACGCCUUGUACGCGUCUCUCCUUCGGAGCAGGAUAAGGUCUGAGCGUUCCAAUCUCCUUCGAUUGUCCCCAGAUGGGACCAGCCUUCACGGACUGAGCGAUGUACCAGAAAAACAGUUGCGCAAUUGUCCAACUUUGAAAGGCGUUGCGGAGAUCGGGUGGGCGUAUUUCUUACCUUACCUUACCAUCACAUGCAGAUCGGUGUUCCCUGUAUCGCGGCGGGCCGUGCCCUCUUGUUGGCGCAUGACUGUGGUUGCUAUCCAGCUCGGGGCUGAUCUAGCACUGUGGAUCGGUUGGUCCCUCGGGAUACGUACCUGAGGAGAGGAGCAGCACAGCCAUAUAGCUGAUAGCCGAACGGACCAGAGAGCCCGCCCGUUAACGGGAUUAUGAAUCCCAGGCGAAAAGUUAUACGCUGGUGGGGGACUUCCUCAAGGACAUCAUCGUUACCAACUGUGAUUACAUGGACUUGUACAGUUCCCCUGACAUGUUGGCAGUGCUGGAAAAUUCAGUCAGCCUUAUCAAUCCCAUCCACGUUGUCCCUACAGUGUACCAACCAGUGUCACGACCGUUGCACCAUAUCAGGGCGGUGGGUGUGCGCCGUACGAGGAGAUUAGUUCACUUCGUGGUUCGCAGUCCUCUGUCGGCUGCGAAAUUUGAUUCAGACUACUCUCGAACCGUC
rnacentral:RNase_P_RNA from 2 species